rnacentral:rRNA from 1 species
CCUACGGGAGGCAGCAGUGAGGAAUAUUGGUCAAUGGGCGGGAGCCUGAACCAGCCAAGUCGCGUGAGGGAAGACGGUCCUACGGAUUGUAAACCUCUUUUGCCGGGGAGCAACGGGGUCCUUGCGAGGGCCCAAUGAGAGUACCCGGAGAAAAAGCAUCGGCUAACUCCGUGCCAGCAGCCGCGGUAAUACGGAGGAUGCGAGAGUUAUCCGGUUUUAUUGGGUUUAAAGGGUGCGUAGGCGGGCUGUUAAGUCAGCGGUCAAACGUCGGGGCUCAACCCCGGCCUGCCGGUGAAACUGGCGGCCUCGAGUGGGCGAGAAGGAUGCGGAAUGCGUGGUGUAGCGGUGAAAUGCAUAGAUAUCACGCAGAACUCCGAUUGCGAAGGCAGCAUACCGGCGCCCUACUGACGCUGAGGCACGAAAGCGUGGGUAUCGAACAGGAUUAGAUAACCUAGUAGUC